UGGGGGAUCUUGCACAAUGGGGGCAACCCUGAUGCAGCGACGCCGCGUGAGCGAUGAAGCCCUUCGGGGCGUAAAGCUCUUUCGCCCGGAACGAUAAUGACGGUACCGGGAGAAGAAGCUGCGGCUAACUACGUGCCAGCAGCCGCGGUAAUACGUAGGAGGCAAGCGUUAUCCGGAAUUACUGGGCGUAAAGGGCGUCUAGGUGGGACGUCAAGCGGGGUGUGAAAGCUCCUGGCUUAACUGGGAGAGUGCGCUCUGAACUGACGACCUAGGGGGCAGGCGACGGAGGUGGAAUUCCCGGUGGAGUGGUGAAAUGCGUAGAGAUCGGGAGGAACAUCUGUGGCGAAGGCGACUGCCUGGACCAGCACUGACACUGAGGCACGAAAGCGUGGGGAGCAAAC
rnacentral:rRNA from 1 species